AUUGAACGCUGGCGGCAUGCCUUACACAUGCAAGUCGAACGGCAGCGCGGGAGCAAUCCUGGCGGCGAGUGGCGAACGGGUGAGUAGUGCAUCGGAACGUGCCCAGUUGUGGGGGAUAGCCCGGCGAAAGCCGGAUUAAUACCGCAUGAGACCUGAGGGUGAAAGCGGGGGAUCGAAAGACCUCGCGCGACUGGAGCGGCCGAUGUCAGAUUAGGUAGUUGGUGGGGUAAGGGCCUACCAAGCCUGCGAUCUGUAGCUGGUCUGAGAGGACGACCAGCCACACUGGGACUGAGACACGGCCCAGACUCCUACGGGAGGCAGCAGUGGGGAAUUUUGGACAAUGGGCGCAAGCCUGAUCCAGCCAUGCCGCGUGCGGGAAGAAGGCCUUCGGGUUGUAAACCGCUUUUGUCGGGGAAGAAACGGCCUGGGCUAAUACCUUGGGCUAAUGACGGUACCCGAAGAAUAAGCACCGGCUAACUACGUGCCAGCCGCCGCCGUUAA
rnacentral:rRNA from 1 species